rnacentral:rRNA from 1 species
GCAGCCUGAUGCAGCGACGCCGCGUGAGGGAUGACGGCCUUCGGGUUGUAAACCUCUUUCACCAGGGACGAAGCGCAAGUGACGGUACCUGGAGAAGAAGCACCGGCCAACUACGUGCCAGCAGCCGCGGUAAUACGUAGGGUGCGAGCGUUGUCCGGAAUUACUGGGCGUAAAGAGCUCGUAGGUGGUUUGUCGCGUUGUUCGUGAAAACUCACAGCUCAACUGUGGGCGUGCGGGCGAUACGGGCAGACUGGAGUACUGCAGGGGAGACUGGAAUUCCUGGUGUAGCGGUGGAAUGCGCAGAUAUCAGGAGGAACACCGGUGGCGAAGGCGGGUCUCUGGGCAGUAACUGACGCUGAGGAGCGAAAGCGUGGGGAGCGAACAGGAUUAGAUACCCUGGUAGUCCACGCCGUAAACGGUGGGUACUAGGUGUGGGUUUCCUUCCUUGGGAUCCGUGCCGUAGCUAACGCAUUAAGUACCCCGCCUGGGGAGUACGGCCGCAAGGCUAAAACUCAAAGAAAUUGACGGGGGCCCGCACAAGCGGCGGAGCAUGUGGAUUAAUUCGAUGCAACGCGAAGAACCUUACCUGGGUUUGACAUGCACAGGACGUGCCUAGAGAUAGGUAUUCCCUUGUGGCC